UGUAUCCAUAUAAUAGGUUUCACGUUUCUAAUAAAAUUGGUUUUAUGUUAUUUUCAAGUCUUGUUUUGUUUUCAUAACUUUAACCUACUUUGUCUAUAUAAACCGUCAUUUUCUUUUUUUCUUUUUUCCGUGUUCAUUUUUUUAAAACAACAUAUUAUGAUAUCAAUACAUUAUAUCUUAUAAUAAUAGAUUUAAAAAACUGAAAUAUCAAUAUAUUACAAUUUAAGUCAAUAAAAUU
rnacentral:lncRNA from 1 species